rnacentral:rRNA from 1 species
AGAGUUUGAUCCUGGCUCAGGAUGAACGCCGGCGGUGAGCCUAAUACAUGCAAGUCGUACGCACUGGCCCAACUGAUUGAUGGUGCUUGCACCUGAUUGACGUUGGAUCACCAGUGAGUGGCGGACGGGUGAGUAACACGUAGGUAACCUGCCCCGGAGCGGGGGAUAACAUUUGGAAACAGAUGCUAAUACCGCAUAACAACAAAAGCCACAUGGCUUUUGUUUGAAAGAUGGCUUUGGCUAUCACUCUGGGAUGGACCUGCGGUGCAUUAGCUAGUUGGUAAGGUAACGGCUUACCAAGGCGAUGAUGCAUAGCCGAGUUGAGAGACUGAUCGGCCACAAUGGAACUGAGACACGGUCCAUACUCCUACGGGAGGCAGCAGUAGGGAAUCUUCCACAAUGGGCGCAAGCCUGAUGGAGCAACACCGCGUGAGUGAAGAAGGGUUUCGGCUCGUAAAGCUCUGUUGUUGGAGAAGAACGUGCGUGAGAGUAACUGUUCACGCAGUGACGGUAUCCAACCAGAAAGUCACGGCUAACUACGUGCCAGCAGCCGCGGUAAUACGUAGGUGGCAAGCGUUAUCCGGAUUUAUUGGGCGUAAAGCGAGCGCAGGCGGUUGCUUAGGUCUGAUGUGAAAGCCUUCGGCUUAACCGAAGAAGUGCAUCGGAAACCGGGCGACUUGAGUGCAGAAGAGGACAGUGGAACUCCAUGUGUAGCGGUGGAAUGCGUAGAUAUAUGGAAGAACACCAGUGGCGAAGGCGGCUGUCUGGUCUGCAACUGACGCUGAGGCUCGAAAGCAUGGGUAGCGAACAGGAUUAGAUACCCUGGUAGUCCAUGCCGUAAACGAUGAGUGCUAGGUGUUGGAGGGUUUCCGCCCUUCAGUGCCGGAGCUAACGCAUUAAGCACUCCGCCUGGGGAGUACGACCGCAAGGUUGAAACUCAAAGGAAUUGACGGGGGCCCGCACAAGCGGUGGAGCAUGUGGUUUAAUUCGAAGCAACGCGAAGAACCUUACCAGGUCUUGACAUCCAGUGCAAACCUAAGAGAUUAGGUGUUCCCUUCGGGGACGCUGAGACAGGUGGUGCAUGGCUGUCGUCAGCUCGUGUCGUGAGAUGUUGGGUUAAGUCCCGCAACGAGCGCAACCCUUGUCAUUAGUUGCCAUCAUUAAGUUGGGCACUCUAAUGAGACUGCCGGUGACAAACCGGAGGAAGGUGGGGAUGACGUCAAGUCAUCAUGCCCCUUAUGACCUGGGCUACACACGUGCUACAAUGGACGGUACAACGAGAAGCGAACCUGCGAAGGCAAGCGGAUCUCUUAAAGCUGUUCUCAGUUCGGACUGUAGGCUGCAACUCGCCUACACGAAGCUGGAAUCGCUAGUAAUCGCGGAUCAGCACGCCGCGGUGAAUACGUUACCGGGCCUUGUACUCACCGCCCGUCA